rnacentral:tRNA from 1 species
GUCCAAGUUAAGUCAUGAAAUUUAUUAAGGGUCUUGUAAGCGCUAGGCUGCGGGUUCGAUUCCCGCCCUGGACG